rnacentral:rRNA from 1 species
UGCCAGCAGCCGCGGUAAUACGGAGGAUGCAAGCGUUAUCCGGAUUUAUUGGGUUUAAAGGGUGCGCAGGCGGAUUAGUAAGUCAGUGGUGAAAGCUCCCGGCUCAACCGGGAAAAUGCCAUUGAUACCGUUAAUCUUGAGUACAGUUGAGGUUGGCGGAAUGUAUCAUGUAGCGGUGAAAUGCAUAGAUAUGAUACAGAACACCGAUAGCGAAGGCAGCUUACCAAACUGUAACUGACGCUCAUGCACGAAAGCGUGGGGAGCAAACAGGAUUAGAUACCCUGGUAGUCCACGCUGUAAACUAUGAUCACUCGCUGUUGGCAAUACACUGUCAGCGGCUUAGCGAAAGUGUUAAGUGAUCCACCUGGGGAGUACGAUCGCAAGGUUGAAACUCAAAGGAAUUGACGGGGGCCCGCACAAGCGGAGGAGCAUGUGGUUUAAUUCGAUGAUACGCGAGGAACCUUACCUGGGCUUAAAUGCAGAACGACCUCCCGAGAAAUCGGGACUUCCUUCGGGACGGACUGCAAGGUGCUGCAUGGUUGUCGUCAGCUCGUGCCGUGAGGUGUCGGGUUAAGUCCCAUAACGAGCGCAACCCUUAUCCUUAGUUGCCAACAGGUAAUGCUGGGAACUCUAAGGAAACUGCCUACGCAAGUAGUGAGGAAGGUGGGGAUGACGUCAAAUCAGCACGGCCCUUAUGUCCAGGGCUACACACGUGCUACAAUGGUCGGUACAGAGGGCAGCUACCUGGCAACAGGAUGCUAAUCUCGAAAGCCGAUCUCAGUUCGGAAUGGAGUCUGCAACUCGACUCCAUGAAGUUG